ACUUCUCAUCCCCUCCAGCUUUUGUUUCUAAGCUUGGUUCUUGGGGUUUGGAUGUGGAGGUUUUUGUUGGCCUUUUGCUAGGUCAACUCCUCUGAAAUGCAUUAGUGGAACUGUUUGCGAUCCAUCACAGGCAUGAUAAUCAAUCUAUGCCACUGGAUUGCUCUCUAUCUUGUUCAACUUCCAACUGUCCCAUUCUUUGUGGACAACCAUUACUGAACAU
rnacentral:misc_RNA from 1 species